rnacentral:lncRNA from 1 species
GUUUCCAAGCGCGUGGAGGAAAGCGCAUUCUUUGUUAUUUAUCUCCGGUAAAGACAAUAACGAUUCUCCGUCUUAAAUUUUAUUGUUUAUUUGCGUAUUAUGGUACCUAAGGUUUGAUUAUAAACGUUGAUUGACUUGUUUGGAUAGGUUUAUUGGUAACAUUUAGGAUUCAUUUUGUAUGCAUUUUGAAGGAGGGAAAACGUUGGAUUAUUGACUGAAGCGCACCAGCUAAACUGAGUUUUUAUGGAUAUAAGGAAGGACUUUAUUGAACAAAAGGACCAUUUGGGACCAAAAGGACCAUUUGUAAUGAGACCUUUUGGAGUGCCAACAGAAGAAGAUCUUCAAAGGACCUGAGCCCUAGGACCAUGCCUCAGGACUACCUGGCUUGAUGACUCCUUGCUGUCCCCAGUUCACCUGGCCGUGCUGCUGCUCCAGUUCCAACUGUUCUGCCUGCAGCUAUGGAACCCUGACCUGUUCACCGGACGUGCUACCUGUCCCAGACCUGUUGUCCCAGACCUGCUGGAACCCUGACCUAUUCACCGGACGUGCUACCUGUCCCAGACCUGCUGUUUUCAACUCUCUAGAGACAGCAGGAGCGGUGGAGAUACUCUCAAAGAUCGCCUAUGAAAAAGCCAACUGACACUUACUCUUGUGUUACUGACUUGUUGCACCCUCGACAACUACUAUGAUUAUUAUUAUUUGACAAUGCUGGUCAUUUAUGAACAUUUGAACAUCUAGGCCAUGUGCUGUUAUAAUCUCCACCCGGCACAGCCAGAAGAGGACUGGCCACCCCUCAUAGCCUGGUUCCUCUCUAGGUUUCUUCCUAGGUUUUGGCCUUUCUAGGGAGU